rnacentral:rRNA from 1 species
UCGGGAAUUUUGGGCAAUGGGCGAAAGCCUGACCCAGCAACGCCGCGUGAAGGAUGAAGUAUUUCGGUAUGUAAACUUCGAAAGAAUAGGAAGAAUAAAUGACGGUACUAUUUAUAAGGUCCGGCUAACUACGUGCCAGCAGCCGCGGUAAUACGUAGGGACCAAGCGUUGUUCGGAUUUACUGGGCGUAAAGGGCGCGUAGGCGGCUUGACAAGUCACUUGUGAAAUCUCUGGGCUUAACCCAGAACGGCCAAGUGAAACUGUCAUGCUAGAGUGCAGAAGGGGCAAUCGGAAUUCUUGGUGUAGCGGUGAAAUGCGUAGAUAUCAAGAGGAACACCUGAGGUGAAGACGGGUUGCUGGGCUGACACUGACGCUGAGGCACGAAAGCGUGGGGAGCAAACAGGAUUAGAUACCCCCGUAGUCCCUGAGCGGGCUGGCAAGGCGCAU